rnacentral:rRNA from 1 species
AUUGCACGCUGGCGGCAGGCCUAACACAUGCAAGUCGAACGAGUGGCGGACGGGUGAGUAAUGUCUGGGAAACUGCCUGAUGGAGGGGGAUAACUACUGGAAACGGUAGCUAAUACAGCAUACCAUCAGAUGUGCCCAGAGGGGAUUGGCUUGUUGGUGGGGUAACGGCUCACCAAGGCGACGAGCCCUAGCUGGUCUGAGAGGAUGACCAGCCACACUGGAACGGAGACACGGGCCAGACUCCUACGUGAGGCAGCAGUGGGGAAUAUUGCACAAGGGGGGCAAGCCUGAUGCAGCCAUGCCGCGUGUAUGAAGAAGGCCUUCGGGUUGUAAAGUACUUUCAGCGGGGAGGCGUUACCCGCAGAAGAAGCACCGGCUAACUCCGUGCCAGCAGCCGCGGUCCUAC